ACUUCCGGUAACUCGGUCAUGGCGGUGUUUACAACUGAGAAAGUGAUGUGGGAAGAAACGAAAACCUCUUUAAAAAAACAGAAAUGGGUCAAGUCUGCCUCAUCCGCGACUUAUUACAGAGUGGGAGGAUGACAUGAAAAAGUGGCCACAAGUCAUGUAUGGCGAUAUUUUUAACUAUUUCGUGUUGUCUCUUGGCGUUGAUGGCUCGGCUAUGAGGAAUUAUAAGAGCACCGAAGCCUAUCAAUAUUUGCAUAGUGGUAAAGUCGGCGCUGUUCUGUUACAUCAAGAACGGGAAUAUACGUUUCUUAAAGCUAAUGUCAGGCUAGUACCUCCUCACACAUGGCGUGGGUGUUGGUGACAGCUGAUGGAGUGGUGGAGACCACGGGAUGCUCCUGUAUCGCUGGGUUGGGACGGUCCUGCAGUCACGCUGCUGCGAUAUUAUGGAAGUAACAGCUACUGAACUGAUGACCUUUUGUGAAUAUGUUGUCUAAUCUCUGAUUGAUACCAUGGAGUAAGGUAAGUAAUGACAGGUAAGUAAGCAUGCCAUUGUAACAUUCAGACAACAAACUCAAUUCCACACUAAUCUACAGCUUAAGGUAAGUGUCUGCAACUAUUACUAUCUCCCAAUAAAGUGAACCUCUAUUUGCUUGUAUACAUAGCUUGUGGUUAACAAUUGGUAUGUACACUCACAUCACAAAUUGGCCUUGAUGCCCUUUAAAAUAAAUCCUUUUUAUAGCAAUAGAAAAAAUGCCACAUAAAGCUAUAUAUAAGCAUCUUAAGUUAAUUCAGUCUAAUCACUUUUAAGCCUGAAAACUGCAUAUUAAGGUACAGUAUUUCUUUCAAAAAAAAACAACAAAAAAAACAACACAAACAAACACGUAUUUACCAUGAACACACUAAAAUAUGCUGUGUUUGUUAGGUGGAGAAUGCAGUGUCCAGUGCCCUCACUGGUUUAUCCUGCACUGACAAGCAGAGGCAAUGGAAUAAAGGGACACAGUGGAACAUUGAGCCAAAACAGGUCAGAGACAUCUCCUUCGCCCACCAUAAGCCCUCUGACACAUUUAGUGGAGAUGCUCAACCCAACAAGGUACGUCUACCCCCUACCCUUGUCUGUCACACACAAGAAGAGCUCCAAGAGGCCUUCAGCAGCUACACCCUGCCACCAUCGAGUCUCCUCUUCAAGUGUGUGCAUGCAGCGCCAGCACCAGCACACCCGAAAACCCCAUCUGUCCCCCUGUCCCAUCCAGGCGUAAACUAACCGUGACGUCACCCGUUGGUUUCAACGGCGAGAAAAUGAAGCCCGGAUUUUGCUACUUCCUGGUCGCCGUUUUGGAUUUUUUUGGAGCCAGUGAUGUAAAAAGCGUCAUCAAACAGACUGGACCGGAGAGCAACUAGGGGCAGGAUUGGCUGAGGACUCUCUUAUCCCGCCCACAUUUUACCGCAGAGGCUUCUGUUGCUGUCUAUCAAGUAUAGCCACGCCCCCUGGCUCCGCCAACUUUAACGAUUUAUUUAAAAUUCAGUAUUGAUUUAUUUUAAGAUCGGCCACCUGAUCUCUCAUUUUGACCAUGAAAACUAAUGGGAAAAAAAUCCUGAGCUGUAGAAAAUCAGUCUAUCAAAUUUUAUUUUUUCCAAAAAUGAAUUGGGGUCUAUGGAGAAAAAGCUUUUUGGAGCCAACCCUAGUGGACGGCGUGAUAUUGCAAGUUUUUGACACUUCUGGGUUGGCUUCAAUUCUGGAGCCAGAUGCGACGUCCACUAUAUAUACAGUCUAUGGUCCCAUCAAGACCACGAGGGUAAUAACAACUGCCCAGCCUGUGGAUCAUUUUAUGAUCGGUUUGUGGCAAUCUGCGGUGAGAUGUUGGAAGCAGCCACUCGGGAGCAGAGCACAUCCCAUCUCUGGCAUGACUCCAGGCGGGUGAGAAUCACUGCCAGCUCUGCUAAGAGUCCCCAUCAGAGCCCACCCUGACACCUUUCUAAAGGCUCAUGUUCACCCCCGCUUUCAUGGUAAUGCAGCCACCAAACAUGGGCUUGAGAAGGAGACUUUGGCGAUCAAGUGGCUUGAGGAGUGUGGACAUGCUGUUCAACGUAAAGGGACUGUGCUGUGUCCUCAGGAGCCCUGGCUGUCAGCAAGUCCAGACGGAGUUUUAGAGUCUGGAGACCUCUUGGAGGUAAAAUGGUCCUCCCUCAAGGAAAACGAGACUCUUGAGUCCCUUUUUGUGAGCCACAGGUACGACGUGAAGCUGGUGGAUGGGAUUCCCCAACUUCAGGAGAAGGGUCCCCAGGGUUUCUUCUUGCAGGUUCAGCUUGGCAUGUUCUGCACGGGGCUGAGAGCAUGCAAGCUUCUUAUCUGCAGCCCCUCCCAGCAGGCGAUUCUCCAUGUUCCUUUUGACGAGGAUUUUUGUACCAGAACUGUAGCUCGUCUCAAGUGUUUUUAUUUCAAAUAUUUCCUUCCCUUUGUUGCUGUUGAGCACCAGGAAGGUCGCUUGGUGCUUUGUGAGCGCUGUAGAUUGUUAUAGUUUGUGUUGUUAUAGUUAGUAUUUCAGGUUUGAAGUGGUGGGACGUAAAAUGCAAAAGUACAAGUAACGAGUAAAAAAAUCCUUUUUCCAGUACAUUUUAUGUUGGUUACCUUGUAUUUUUUUGUUAUUACAUUUUAAAGCCUGUAUCUGUUCUUUUUACUGCACUGCGUUUUUUAAUGGAGUCAAAGGAAAAUCAUUUUCAACACAUUUAUUUACAAAAUGAGGUCUGUGGUUCAGACUGGUUUGUCCUGGUUUAGCCAUUGUGAAGUCCUGGUUUAGAGUUGGUUUUGUCCUUGUUUAGACCUGAUUUUAUUUUAAAAUCUGUGUGACAUAACUUUUUUUCUCAUGAAAUAUUUUUGAAAAUUGAUACUUUUGUCCUUUACUUCAGUAGAACUUUAAACCUGAUACUUUAAGGUACAUUUAUUGUUCCUGUAUUUGUACUUUUUACUUAAAUAAGAAAAGUUAAUACUUUGUUCACUACCAGUGAUUUGUUUUUUGACAGGAACCAUUGGAAGGGGUACAAUAGAUGUCAAGGUAAAUUCUGUCUGAGUGUUGGAAUGCUAGGCCUUAUUUAGACAUUAUUCAGGUGUAAUUUAAUAGUUUGUCAGGUAGAGAUGAUUUUCUUUAAUGGCUUCUUCUCAUCUCAAAGUGUUGGAUAUAAACCUCGUUUCAGCUCAUGGUAUGAUUAAGAGUGAGUCCACAACUAAUGAUAAAUACUUCCAUAGAUUGGAUUAAUUUAAUCAGUUGUUUCAGCCCCUAUAAAAACGAAAAGUACUUGGGCUUGAAAUUGUUCAUAGUUUAAUGAAAUGUGAUUAAAAACAGUACUUCAAAUGAAGGCAUUUUUAUGAUUCUAGUUCUUCUUCUGAAAUUUAAAGUUAAGUUAUUGAUUUAAAUGGGCUGUAUUCCUUUGUAAAGUUUUUCUAUUCCUUUGAGAGCCUUCACAAACAUGCUCUGUUCCUUGUUUUCAAUUGUUUCCUAUCGUAAUGUAGUAGUGUAUUAAUCAAUUAUUGAGAGAUCACAAAACAGUCAGUCAGAAAGCAGUGAUAUUUUACUGAAUUGACAAUUCUUGAACAGUCCACUAGAUGGUGCAGUUUAAAUAUCAAAGGUUAUAUACAGCAGGACAAAAUAAACACUUUGUUUAACAAAAGUUCUAUAUGACAAAUAUAAUUAAUUUUCCUUCUUUUACAAUCCAAACAGUGUAAAAUUUAAUGUCUUAUAAUGUGUGUUUGAGUUGAUGAGUUACUGUUAAAUAAAGUGUGGCUGAACACAA